UGGAUUCACUACUUGGCAGAGCUUCAACCAGAAAGGCAAGGACAGGUGUCAGUAGAAGAUAUCCAGGAUGAACGCUCUGUGAAGAAAGUACCUUUAUGCCUUAGGAAACAAUGAACUUUUCCAAAUGAUCCAGAGCUCUGAACCAU
rnacentral:lncRNA from 12 species